rnacentral:tRNA from 1 species
GGGGACAGGUUGUGGGUGAGUGGUAAAGCCUCGGCUGCGCAUGCAAAAGGCCUCAGGUUCAAUUCCUGGUGUCUCCA